UACGUAGGGGGCAAGCGUUGUCCGGAAUCAUUGGGCGUAAAGAGCGUGUAGGCGGCUUGGCAAGUCUGGUGUGAAAUCUUGCGGCUCAGCCGCAAGCGGUCACUGGAAACUGCCUCGCUAGAGUCCGGAAGAGGAGAGCGGAAUUCCUGGUGUAGCGGUGGAAUGCGCAGAUAUCAGGAAGAACACCCGUGGCGAAGGCGGCUCUCUGGGACGGUACUGACGCUGAGACGCGAAAGCGUGGGGAGCGAACAGG
rnacentral:rRNA from 1 species